ACCUGCGGGGCUGUUGGCCCUCCGACCAAUCAGUGAAUGAGAGGCGGGACCUGAUUAUACCACGUGAUCGUCCUCGCGGACAGCGCGGCUGUGCGGGUGGAGAGCUGUCGGAUAUUAAAUCAGAAUAAUUGAGGCUAGGAACUCAAAAGCAAGUUUUUACAGUCAAUGGAGUCAUCGGGAUCUGAAUAUCAUUUGCAUUUGACUGUGGACGGAGAAAGAAUGAGGCUGUCACUGGCUCGGCCAGCAUUUAUUGCUGCGUUUACCCAGAGGGCAGUUAAGAAUCAACCACGUUGCUAUAGGUCUGGAGUCCCAUGCAGACCAGACCAGAUCCCAGUGAUCAGUGCCAAAGCCCCAUUGCCUGUGGAGAGGGUGAUGUUUGAUUUCCCUGUCCAGCUGCAGUUCAUGUGGUGAAGGUGCUCCCACAAUGUGGUUGGGGUGCUUAAUGGUGAAGAUUUGCAGACUGAAAUCUCAAACUCCUGUGCAGAUUGUGAUUAAGUUAACCAGCAUUUGAAGAACCAAAGAUGGAGAAUAACUUGGGCAAAAUCCAGCAACACUCUCCCUCCCAGCAUUGUUGGUCUAUCUGCACCAAAUGGGCUGUGAAUGGUUCAAGACAGCAGCUCACUCCCAUCUUCUCCAGGGUAACU